rnacentral:rRNA from 1 species
GACGAACCUGACUAACGUUAUUCGGAAUCACUGGGCUUAAAGGGUGCGUAGGCGGCGCGGAAAGUUGGGUGUGAAAUCCCUUGGCUUAACCAAGGAAUUGCGCCCAAAACUACCGUGCUCGAGGGAGAUAGAGGUGAGCGGAACUUAGGGUGGAGCGGUGAAAUGCGUUGAUAUCCUAAGGAACACCGGUGGCGAAAGCGGCUCACUGGAUCUCUUCUGACGCUGAGGCACGAAAGCUAGGGGAGCGAACGGG